CCUACGGGUGGCAGCAGUCGAGAAUCAUUCACAAUGGGGGAAACCCUGAUGGUGCGACGCCGCGUGGGGGAAUGAAGGUCUUCGGAUUGUAAACCCCUGUCAUGUGGGAGCAAAUUAAAAAGAUCGUACCACAAGAGGAAGAGACGGCUAACUCUGUGCCAGCAGCCGCGGUAAUACAGAGGUCUCAAGCGUUGUUCGGAAUCACUGGGCGUAAAGCGUGCGUAGGCUGUUUCGUAAGUCGUGUGUGAAAGGCGCGGGCUCAACCCGCGGACGGCACAUGAUACUGCGAGACUAGAGUAAGGGAGGGGGAACCGGAAUUCUCGGUGUAGCAGUGAAAUGCGUAGAUAUCGAGAGGAACACUCGUGGCGAAGGCGGGUUCCUGGACAUUAACUGACGCUGAGGCACGAAGGCCAGGGGAGCGAAAGGGAUUAGAUACCCUAGUAGUC
rnacentral:rRNA from 1 species